GACGAACGCUGGCGGCGUGCUUAACACAUGCAAGUCGAACGGAAAGGCCCUGCUUUUGUGGGGUGCUCGAGUGGCGAACGGGUGAGUAACACGUGAGUAACCUGCCCUUGACUUUGGGUUAACUUCAGGAAACUGGGGCUAAUACCGGAUAGGAGCUCCUGCUGCAUGGUGGGGGUUGGAAAGUUUCGGCGGUUGGGGAUGGACUCGCGGCUUAUCAGCUUGUUGGUGGGGUAGUGGCUUACCAAGGCUUUGACGGGUAGCCGGCCUGGGAGGGUGACCGGGCACAUUGGGAAUGAGAUACGGGCCAGACUCCUACGGGAGGGAGCAGGGGGGAAUAUUGGACAAUGGGCGGAAGCCUGAUGGAGCAACGCCGCGGGCGGGAUGACGGCCUUCGGGUUGUAAACCGCUUUCGCCUGGGACGAAGCGUGAGUGACGGUAAUGGGUAAAGAAGCACCGGCUAACUACGUGC
rnacentral:rRNA from 1 species